rnacentral:tRNA from 1 species
GAGGGUAUAGCUCAAGUGGUAGAGUGUAUGCUUUGCAUGCAUGAGGUCCUGGGUUCAAUCCCUAGUAUCUUCU